rnacentral:rRNA from 1 species
UACAGAGGGGGCAAGCGUUGUUCGGAAUUACUGGGCGUAAAGGGCGCGUAGGCGGCCUGUUAAGUCGAACGUGAAAUCCCCGGGCUCAACCCGGGAACUGCGUCCGAUACUGGCAGGCUUGAAUCCGGGAGAGGGAUGCGGAAUUCCAGGUGUAGCGGUGAAAUGCGUAGAUAUCUGGAGGAACACCGGUGGCGAAGGCGGCUUCCUGGCCUGUUCUUGACGCUGAGGCGCGAAAGCUGGGGGAGCAAACGGG